rnacentral:rRNA from 1 species
GAUGAACGCUGGCGGCGUGCCUAAUACAUGCAAGUCGAGCGAACAGACGAGGAGCUUGCUCCUCUGACGUUAGCGGCGGACGGGUGAGUAACACGUGGAUAACCUACCUAUAAGACUGGGAUAACUUCGGGAAACCGGAGCUAAUACCGGAUAAUAUAUUGAACCGCAUGGUUCAAUAGUGAAAGACGGUUUUGCUGUCACUUAUAGCUGGAUCCGCGCCGCAUUAGCUAGUUGGUAAGGUAACGGCUUACCAAGGCAACGAUGCGUAGCCGACCUGAGAGGGUGAUCGGCCACACUGGAACUGAGACACGGUCCAGACUCCUACGGGAGGCAGCAGUAGGGAAUCUUCCGCAAUGGGCGAAAGCCUGACGGAGCAACGCCGCGUGAGUGAUGAAGGUCUUCGGAUCGUAGAACUCUGUUAUUAGGGAAGAACAAAUGUGUAAGUAACUAUGCACGUCUUGACGGUACCUAAUCAGAAAGCCACGGCUAACUACGUG